ensembl:misc_RNA 7SK 7SK RNA
AGGUAUAAAGGUUAUUUGGCUGUGAUAUCUGUCAUCCUGUCAAUCAGUUGAUUUAACUAAUCUGGCUGGCUAGAUAGAUAUUCCCUUCCUCCUUCACCAGUUCAUGCGUGUCUUUCCUAAAGCUACACAUGUGGUUGAAGAGGACCUUUCUCAAGAGAGGAAGAUCAUUCUUGAGUCAAAGAUCUAUGAGUAGCUCAAUUCCUUGCUACAAACUCCAAACAAAUGAUGUAUGUCUAUUUGUAGGAGAAGGUAGGGUAUUCAAGCUGUCAGGAUUCUAGAUCUAGCUAAAUGAAGUACUACAAUGCAGAAGUAUGCCUUUCUUU